rnacentral:misc_RNA from 1 species
AUGGCAGAGUUUAUUUCUUCCAGUAAGUUGAAUAGUAGUUAUGCACCAAUGAUUUCUUUUCCAACAGAGAACAUCUGAGAUUUAUCUAAAAAAUUUGAUGUUAGCCAUCACAUGUCUUAGAUAAUUUCUCCUUGAAGUGAUGUCACUUUUCAAUUUUUUAGCAAGAAUUGUAGAAGGUGCAACUACCUAUGCAACAAUUGAUGACAUUAAUAUGCAAGAGAGGGGGCAUAAUCGAACAAGUAAAUUUAUUGCUUCUAAGUAAUUUUAAAGGGUUAGAAGGGAAACAUAUUAUGCAUAGGUGACAAAAAGUAGUGCUCGUUCAGGAAAUUUCAAAUCCUCAAAUCUACAUCUGCAUUUCAUCACUAAUAGGCAUAAUAAUGCAGCUUUUCAAACAUAUUGAGCACCUUUCCAGCUUUAUACGAUUCUAAAAGAGCACCAACUGGAGGUGAGAGGAUCUCUUGCUACAAAACAUUGUAGCAACAAAGGAGCUAGUCUUCCUACUAAAUGUUCAUCCACACAAGGAAGCAAUUAAGGCAUCUUUAUCUUUUCUUUAUUUUUUAAG